UGCGCAGGCGGGGAUGUAAGUCAGUGGUGAAAUACUGCCGCUCAACGGUAGAACUGCCAUUGAUACUGCAUCUCUUGAGUAUGGUUGAGGUAGGCGGAAUGUGUCGUGUAGCGGUGAAAUGCAUAGAUAUGACACAGAACGCCAAUUGCGAAGGCAGCUUACUAAGCCAUUACUGACGCUGAGGCACGAAAGCGUGGGGAGCGAACAGGAUUAGAUACCCUGGUAGUCC
rnacentral:rRNA from 1 species